rnacentral:rRNA from 1 species
AGCGAACGCUGGCGGCAGGCUUAACACAUGCAAGUCGAGCGGGCACUUUCGGGUGUCAGCGGCGGACGGGUGAGUAACGCGUGGGAACGUGCCCUCUGGUUCGGAAUAACUCAGGGAAACUUGAGCUAAUACCGGAUACGCCCUUUUGGGGAAAGGCUUUCUGCCGGAGGAUCGGCCCGCGUCUGAUUAGCUAGUUGGUGAGGUAACGGCUCACCAAGGCGACGAGCCGUAGCUGGUCUGAGAGGGUGAUCGGCCACACUGGGACUGAGACAGGGUCCAGGCGCCGAAGGGAGGAAGCAGUAGGGAACAGGCCGCAAUGGGCGAAAGGUUGACGGAGAAACGCAGCGGGAGUGAUGAAGGUCUUCGGAGCGGAAAACUUGGUGAGUAGGGAAGAACAAAUGUGGAAGUAACUAUGCACGUCUGGACGGUACCUAAUCAGAAAGACACGGAUAACUACGUG